UGGGGAAUAUUGCACAAUGGACGGAAGUUUGAUGCAGCGACGCCGCGUGGAGGGUGUAGGCCUUCGGGUUGUGAACUCCUUUUUCUCGCGAAAAAGGCACAGUUUUGGCUGUGUUGAUGGUAGUGGGGGAAGAAGCGCCGGCUAAAUACGUGCCAGCAGCCGCGGUAAUACGUAUGGAGCGAGCGUUGUCCGGAAUUAUUGGGCGUAAAGGGUGCGCAGGCGGCUUUACAAGUUGGAUGUGAAAUAUUGUGGCUCAACCACAAACGUGCAUCCAAAACUGCAAAGCUUGAGUUAAGGAGAGGUAAGUGGAAUUCCUGGUGUAGCGGUGGAAUGCGUAGAUAUCAGGAGGAAUACCGGUGGCGAAGGCGACUUACUGGACUUAAACUGACGCUCAGGCACGAAAGCGUGGGGAGCAAACAGG
rnacentral:rRNA from 1 species